AACGAACGCUGGCGGCAUGCCUAAUACAUGCAAGUCGAACGAGCCCUUCGGGGCUAGUGGCCCACGGGUGCGUAACGCGUGGGAAUCUGCCCUUGGGUUCGGAAUAACGGCUGGAAACGGACGCUAAUACCGGAUGCCCACGAAAGCCCCAAGAUUUAUCGCCCAGGGAUGAGGCCGCGUGGGAUUAGCUAGUUGGUGAGGUAAAGGCUCACCAAGGCGACGAUCCUUAGCUGGUCUGAGAGGAUGAUCAGCCACACUGGGACUGAGACACGGCCCAGACUCCUACGGGAGGCAGCAGUAGGGAAUAUUGGACAAUGGGGGCAACCCUGAUCCAGCAAUGCCGCGUGAGUGAUGAAGGCCUUAGGGUUGUAAAGCUCUUUUACCCGGGAUGAUAAUGACAGUACCGGGAGAAUAAGCCCCGGCUAACUCCGUGCCAGCAGCCGCAGUAAUAC
rnacentral:rRNA from 1 species